UACAGAGGUCUCAAGCGUUGUUCGGAUUCAUUGGGCGUAAAGGGUGCGUAGGCGGCGAAGCAAGUCAGGUGUGAAAUCCCGGAGCUUAACUCCGGAACUGCACUUGAUACUGCUUUGCUUGAGGACUGGAGAGGAGAUCGGAAUUCACGGUGUAGCAGUGAAAUGCGUAGAUAUCGUGAGGAAGGCCAGUGGCGAAGGCAGAUCUCUGGACAGUUCCUGACGCUGAGGCACGAAGGCCAGGGGAGCAAACGGG
rnacentral:rRNA from 1 species